rnacentral:rRNA from 1 species
CGCUGGCGGCAGGCCUAACACAUGCAAGUCGAGCGGUAGCACAGAGAGCUUGCUCUCGGGUGACGAGCGGCGGACGGGUGAGUAAUGUCUGGGAAACUGCCUGAUGGAGGGGGAUAACUACUGGAAACGGUAGCUAAUACCGCAUAAUGUCGCAAGACCAAAGUGGGGGACCUUCGGGCCUCAUGCCAUCAGAUGUGCCCAGAUGGGAUUAGCUAGUAGGUGGGGUAACGGCUCACCUAGGCGACGAUCCCUAGCUGGUCUGAGAGGAUGACCAGCCACACUGGAACUGAGACACGGCCCAGACUCCUACGGGAGGCAGCAGUGGGGAAUAUUGCACAAUGGGCGCAAGCCUGAUGCAGCCAUGCCGCGUGUGUGAAGAAGGCCUUCGGGUUGUAAAGCACUUUCAGCGGGGAGGAAGGCGAUAAGGUUAAUAACCUUGUCGAUUGACGUUACCCGCAGAAGAAGCACCGGCUAACUCCGUGCCAGCAGCCGCGGUAAUACGGAGGGUGCAAGCGUUAAUCGGAAUUACUGGGCGUAAAGCGCACGCAGGCGGUCUGUCAAGUCGGAUGUGAAAUCCCCGGGCUUAACCUGGGAACUGCAUUCGAAACUGGCAGGCUAGAGUCUUGUAGAGGGGGGUAGAAUUCCAGGUGUAGCGGUGAAAUGCGUAGAGAUCUGGAGGAAUACCGGUGGCGAAGGCGGCCCCCUGGACAAAGACUGACGCUCAUGUGCGAAAGCGUGGGGAGCAAACAGGAUUAGAUACCCUGGUAGUCCACGCCGUAAACGAUGUCGAUUUGGAGGUUGUGCCCUUGAGGCGUGGCUUCCGGAGCUAACGCGUUAAAUCGACCGCCUGGGGAGUACGGCCGCAAGGUUAAAACUCAAAUGAAUUGACGGGGGCCCGCACAAGCGGUGGAGCAUGUGGUUUAAUUCGAUGCAACGCGAAGAACCUUACCUGGUCUUGACAUCCACAGAACUUUCCAGAGAUGGAUUGGUGCCUUCGGGAACUGUGAGACAGGUGCUGCAUGGCUGUCGUCAGCUCGUGUUGUGAAAUGUUGGGUUAAGUCCCGCAACGAGCGCAACCCUUAUCCUUUGUUGCCAGCGGUUCGGCCGGGAACUCAAAGGAGACUGCCAGUGAUAAACUGGAGGAAGGUGGGGAUGACGUCAAGUCAUCAUGGCCCUUACGACCAGGGCUACACACGUGCUACAAUGGCAUAUACAAAGAGAAGCGACCUCGCGAGAGCAAGCGGACCUCAUAAAGUAUGUCGUAGUCCGGAUUGGAGUCUGCAACUCGACUCCAUGAAGUCGGAAUCGCUAGUAAUCGUAGAUCAGAAUGCUACGGUGAAUACGUUCCCGGGCCUUGUACACACCGCCCGUCACACCAUGGGAGUGGGUUGCAAAAGAAGUAGGUAGCUUAACCUUCGGGAGGGCGCUUACCACUUUGUGAUUCAUGACUGGGGUGA